UACGUAGGGCGCAAGCGUUUAUCCGGAAUUAUUGGGCGUAAAGAGCUCGUAGGCGGUUUGUCGCGUCUGCCGUGAAAGUCCGGGGCUCAACUCCGGAUCUGCGGUGGGUACGGGCAGACUAGAGUGAUGUAGGGGAGACUGGAAUUCCUGGUGUAGCGGUGAAAUGCGCAGAUAUCAGGAGGAACGACCGAUGGCGAAGGCAGGUCUCUGGGCAUUAACUGACGCUGAGGAGCGAAAGCAUGGGGAGCAAACAGG
rnacentral:rRNA from 1 species